GCCCAGUGACCACGUUGUUCAACGGCCGCAGUAUUUUAACUGCGCUAAGGUAGCGUAAUCAUUUGUCUCUUAAAUGGAGACCUGUAUGAAUGGCAACACGAGGGUUUCACUGUCUCCUCCCCCCGGUCAAUGAAAUUGAUCUAUCCGUGCAGAAGCGGAUAUGUAACCAUAAGACGAGAAGACCCUAUGGAGCUUUAGGUAAAAAUCACCACAUAAACAAUAUUAAUUUAACCCCAGGGAACAACAAUUUUUAACCCCAAUGUGAGCAUGAUUAAUACCUUCGGUUGGGGCGACCACGGGGGACAACAAAACCCCCACAUGGAAUAGGAGAUACCUCCCAAGCUAAGAGUUACAGCUCUAAGCAACAGAACAUCUGACCACAAACGAUCCGGGCGAGGCUUUCGUCUUAAGCCCGAUCAAUGAACCAAGUUACCCUAGGGAUAACAGCGCAAUCCUUUCCCAAGAGCCCAUAUCGACGAAGGGGUUUACGACCUCGAUGUUGGAUCAGGACAUCCUAAUGGUGAAGCCGCUAUUAAGGGGUUCGUUUGUUCAACG
rnacentral:rRNA from 1 species